AUUGAACGCUGGCGGCAGGCCUAACACAUGCAAGUCGAGCGGAGCGACGGACGGGUGAGUAAGGCCUAGGAAUCUGCCUGGUAGCGGGGGAUAACGUCAGGAAACGGGCGCUAAGACCGCAUACGAUCAGAUGACCCUCGGACGUAUUAGCUAGUUGGUGGGGUAAAGGCCUACCAAGGCGACGAACCGUAACUGGUCUGAGAGGAUGAUCAGUCACACUGGAACUGAGACACGGUCCAGAAUCCUACGGGAGGCAGCAGUGGGGAAUAUUGGACAAUGGGCGAAAGCCUGAUCCAGCCAUGCCGCGUGAGUGAUGAAGGUCUUCGGAUUGUAAAGCACUUUAAGUUGGGAGGCGUUACCAACAGAAUAAGCACCGGCUAACUUCGUGCCAGCAGCCGCGGUAAUAC
rnacentral:rRNA from 1 species